rnacentral:rRNA from 1 species
GAUGAACGCUGGCGGCGUGCUUAACACAUGCAAGUCGAACGGAAAGGCCCAAGCUUGCUUGGGUACUCGAGUGGCGAACGGGUGAGUAACACGUGGGUGAUCUGCCCUGCACUUCGGGAUAAGCCUGGGAAACUGGGUCUAAUACCGGAUAGGACCACUUCUUGGAUGUUGUGGUGGAAAGAUUUUUCGGUGUGGGAUGAGCUCGCGGCCUAUCAGCUUGUUGGUGGGGUAAUGGCCUACCAAGGCGUCGACGGGUAGCCGGCCUGAGAGGGUGUACGGCCACAUUGGGACUGAGAUGCGGCACAGACUGCGACGGGAGGCAACAGUGGGGAAUAUUGCACAAUGGGCGCAAGCCUGAUGCAGCGAGGCCGCGUGGGGGAUGACGGCCUUCGGGUUGUAAACUCCUUUCGCUAGGGACGAAGCGUUUUGUGACGGUACCUGGAGAAGAAGCACCGGCUAACUACGUG